AGUGAACGCUGGCGGUAGGCCUAACACAUGCAAGUCGAACGGCAGCACAGUAAGAGCUUGCUCUUACGGGUGGCGAGUGGCGGACGGGUGAGGAAUACAUCGGAAUCUACUUUUUCGUGGGGGAUAACGUAGGGAAACUUACGCUAAUACCGCAUACGACCUACGGGUGAAAGCAGGGGAUCUUCGGACCUUGCGCGAUUGAAUGAGCCGAUGUCGGAUUAGCUAGUUGGCGGGGGAAAGGCCCACCAAGGCGACGAUCCAUAGCUGGUCUGAGAGGAUGAUCAGCCACACUAGAACUGAGACACGGUCCAGACUCCUACGGGAGGAAGCAGUGGGGAAUAUUGGACAAUGGGCGCAAGCCUGCUCCAGCCAUACCGCGUGGGUGAAGAAGGCCUUCGGGUUGUAAAGCCCUUUUGUUGGGAAAGAAAAGCAGCAGGUUAAUACCCCGCUGUUCUGACGGUACCCAAAGAAUAAGCACCGGCUAACUUCGUG
rnacentral:rRNA from 1 species